CCCUUAGAUGUCCUGGGCCGCACGCGUGCUACACUGACGCCUACAGCGAGUACUUCCCAGCCCCGAGAGGUGGCUGGUAAUCAGCAAUAGGCGUCGUGAUGGGGAUAGAUCUUUGGAAUUAUGGAUCUUGAACGAGGAAUGCCUAGUAAGCGCAGGUCAUUAGCCUGCGCUGAUUAAGUCCCUGCCCUUUGUACACACCGCCCGUCGCUCCUACCGAUUUCGAGUGGUCCGGUGAAUCUUUCGGACUGCGCGCGGCCUCGUGCCGUGUCGCGGAAAGUCAGGUAAACCUUAUCACUUAGAGGAAGGAGAGGUCGUAACA
rnacentral:rRNA from 1 species